rnacentral:rRNA from 1 species
AGUAGUUCGACUCCGUGGCUACGAGACGACGCUGGCGGCGUGCUUAGCACAUGCAAGUCGAACGGAAAGGCCGGGUGCUUGCACCCGGUACUCGAGUGGCGAACGGGUGAGUAACACGUGGGUGAUCUGCCCUGCACUUCGGGAUAAGCCUGGGAAACUGGGUCUAAUACCGGAUAGGACCAUUGGUUGGUACUGGUGGUGGAAAGUUUUUCGGUGCAGGAUGAGCUCGCGGCCUAUCAGCUUGUUGGUGGGGUAAUGGCCUACCAAGGCGGCGACGGGUAGCCGGCCUGAGAGGGUGGACGGCCACAUUGGGACUGAGACACGGCCCAGACUCCUACGGGAGGCAGCAGUGGGGAAUAUUGCACAAUGGGCGCAAGCCUGAUGCAGCGACGCCGCGUGGGGGAUGACGGCCUUCGGGUUGUAAACUCCUUUCAACCAUGACGAAGCUUUUGUGACGGUAGUGGUAGAAGAAGCACCGGCUAACUACGUG